rnacentral:rRNA from 1 species
UGGGGAAUUUUGGACAAUGGGGGCAACCCUGAUCCAGCCAUUCCGCGUGCGCGAAGAAGGCCUUCGGGUUGUAAAGCGCUUUCGGUUAGGAAGAAAUCCUGCGGUUAAAUAGGCCGUGGGUCUGACGGUACUAACAAAAGAAGCACCGGCUAACUACGUGCCAGCAGCCGCGGUAAUACGUAGGGUGCGAGCGUUAAUCGGAAUUACUGGGCGUAAAGGGUGCGCAGACGGCCCGAUCAGUUUGGUGUGAAAUCCCUGGGCUUAACCUAGGAACUGCACUGAAUACUGUCGGGCUAGAGUGUGCUAGAGGGGGGUGGAAUUCCUGGUGUAGCAGUGAAAUGCGUAGAGAUCAGGAGGAACACCGAUGGCGAAGGCAGCCCCCUGGGGCACAACUGACGUU